ACUAUAUUAUAUAGUGAAAAUUCCAGAAGUGAAAAUGUUAUCAAAAUAGUUAAUUGUUUUUUUCAUUGUUAUUGUGUGUAUUUAAUUUUGUAAAAUGUGUACUUGAAAAACUGAGCUUAAAAUUGAAGCAAAUACUUAAAAAACAAUGAUUACUAGUUAUUUUCUUUUUCUAUUUUUCAAGAUGUAAACGUUGGAGAAAAAAAAGGAGUGCUGUUCUAGAUCUAUCUAAACAACAAAAUUUAGAAUUGUCAACACAGCAAUCUUCUAAUAUCAAUUUUGUUUUAUCUACGUCAAAUUUUUAUGCUGAUAAACAAUAUUUAAUUUCACCUCAAGAAUUAGUUAAUGUUGAUGAAAGUAAUAUUCAGACUCAACAUAUUCAAUAUGGUGAACACUAUCAAAAGAGCAGUUCUGACUCAGAAUCAGAUCAUUCCAUUGUGGCUGAUACAAUUCUUCAAAAUUGCCUCAAAAGUUUUAUUAAUAUAUGUCAUAAAUGGCCUAAUCAUCUGGAUUAAUCACUUUUAUUCAAGAAGAACAUAUACGAUUAAAGAUAGAGCAGCAAAGUAGCAAUACUUUAAAGUAUUGCUUUGAAGUUGUUUAAUAAGCUCAGUCAAUGUUGAAUGAUCAAGACUGAAUAUAAUGCAGAAUUUUUAUCAGGAAGGCAGUACAAGCCUGGAGUAUUUGAUCGAUACAAAACUACCAGAGUAGUACGAUUGAAAAGAUGAUGAACGAUUUCUAAAAGGGUUGUUUGAUG